rnacentral:rRNA from 1 species
UUGACUCUAACAGGUCGAGUAAUAGGGGCGGGAAAUAUCGGUGCCAGCCGCCGCGGUAAUACCGAAGCCCCAAGUGGCCGUCGUUCUUAUUGGGCCUAAAACGUCCGUAGCCGGUUUGGUACAUUCGUGGGUAAAUCAGACAGCUUAACUGUCUGAAUUCUGCGAGCACGGCCAAACUUGAGACCGGGAGAGGUGUAGGGUACCUGCGGGGUAGGGGUAAAAUCCUGUCAUCCCGUAGGGACCACCAGUUGCGAAGGCUCUACACUAGAACGGAUCUGACGGUCAGGGACGAAGCCUAGGGGCACGAACCGGAUUAGAUACCCGGGUAGUCCUAGGUGUAAACGCUGUGGACUUUGUGUCGGGGAUUCUUCGAGGAUUCUCGGUGCCGGAGUGAAGAUGUUAAGUCCACUGCCUGGGGAGUACGGUCGCAAGGCUGAAACUUAAAGGAAUUGGCGGGGGAGCACUGCAACGAGAGGAGCGUGCGGUUUAAUUGGAUUCAACGCCGGGAAUC